ACACAAUGGUUUCAUAUGCCGUGUACCACUUCUAUUUGUUGACAUGCCUAGUCACACUUGAUUGUAUGCUUUUUUUUUUAAAACAAAAAAUUAAAAUUUUUUCCAAAAAUCAAAUAAAAUUAUUUUUUAUCUGUUCAAACCCACACUACUUGCAGCUCCUUUCUGAUGGAUAGCUUCGAUGAAUUCCUUUGCGGGAUUUCAGUAGAAGCUCAGCUCAAUUCCACCUGCAAUUCGAAUGCUUCCAUGGUAUUGAAGCGUUUCAUUAACGGAAUGGAAACCGCCACUGAUGGAUGGACCUCGAAUUCUUCCAAUUGCUGUGAUGGAUGAACCUCGAAUUCUCUGAAAUCAGUGAUGUUGUUCCAGCUGCUAAGAAUAACAGGGUAAUUCAAAAGGGUUUGUUCUUGAGAGGUAUUAUGGUGGUUGGAGCAUCGAAUUGGUACAAUCAAAAAAAGCAAGGAGUACAACUGUUGAUUGCCAUGAAUAAUAAGUUCUAGCCAUUACGUUUAGAGCAUAUCAAGAUCCUGAAAACGAGAACAAGAAAAGUUCUUAGGGAUUGAAGUUGUAUGAAUAGGAGGAACGAUGUGUGUCUGUGUAUGUGAGAGGAAAGAAACCUGUCGUUUGUAACGUUUAUAAU